rnacentral:rRNA from 1 species
UACGUAGGUGGCAAGCGUUGUCCGGAAUUAUUGGGCGUAAAGCGCGCGCAGGUGGUUUCUUAAGUCUGAUGUGAAAGCCCCCGGCUCAACCGGGGAGGGUCAUUGGAAACUGGGAAACUUGAGUGCAGAAGAGGAUAGUGGAAUUCCAAGUGUAGCGGUGAAAUGCGUAGAGAUUUGGAGGAACACCAGUGGCGAAGGCGACUGUCUGGUCUGUAACUGACGCUGAGGCGCGAAAGCGUGGGUAGCAAACGGG